GCCGGUCCUCGGUAGUGGCCCCCGGGCGACUUCCCGGGAGCUUCGAUCGAUGGCCGGC
rfam:Streptomyces xiamenensis strain 318, complete genome.